CCAGGAUUUCUGGGAAACCAGGGAAUUUUGGGGAAGUUACCGGAAUUUUGCAACCUUAAGAAAAACACAUGGAGAGUGUUUAAUAAUGGACAGUUAUGGAGGACAGGAGGUUAUAGAGGACAGGAGGUUAUAGAGGACAGGAGGUUUAAUAAUGGACAGUUAUAGAGGACAGGAGGUUAUAGAGGACAGGAGGUUUAAUAAUGGGUAGUUAUAGAGGACAGGAGGUUAUAGAGGACAGGAGGUUAUAGAGGACAGGAGGUUAUAGAGGACAGGAGGUUUAAUAAUGGGCAGUUAUAGAGGACAGGAGGUUAUAGAGGACAGGAGGUUUAAUAAUGGGUAGUUAUAGAGGACAGGAGGUUAUAGAGGACAGGAGGUUUAAUAAUGGGUAGUUAUAGAGGACAGGAGGUUAUAGAGGACAGGAGGUUUAAUAAUGGGUAGUUAUAGAGGACAGGAGGUUAUAGAGGACAGGAGGUUUAGUAAUGGGUAGUUAUAGAGGACAGGAGGUUAUAGAGGACAGGAGGUUAUAGAGGACAGGAGGUUAUAGAGGACAGGAGGUUAUAGAGGACAGGAGGUUUAAUAAUGGGCAGUUAUAGAGGACAGGAGGUUAUAGAGGACAGGAGGUUUAGUAAUGGGUAGUUAUAGAGGACAGGAGGUUAUAGAGGACAGGAGGUUUAAUAAUGGGUAGUUAUAGAGGACAGGAGGUUAUAGAGGACAGGAGGUUUAGUAAUGGGUAGUUAUAGAGGACAGGAGGUUAUAGAGGACAGGAGGUUUAGUAAUGGGUAGUUAUAGAGGACAGGAGGUUAUAGAGGACAGGAGGUUAUAGAGGACAGGAGGUUUAAUAAUGGGCAGUUAUAGAGGACAGGAGGUUAUAGAGGACAGGAGGUUUAGUAAUGGGUAGUUAUAGAGGACAGGAGGUUUAAUAAUGGGCAGUUAUAGAGGACAGGAGGUUUAAUAAUGGGCAGUUAUAGAGGACAGGAGGUUAUAGAGGACAGGAGGUUUAGUAAUGGGCAGUUAUAGAGGACAGGAGGUUAUAGAGGACAGGAGGUUUAGUAAUGGGUAGUUAUAGAGGACAGGAGGUUUAAUAAUGGGCAGUUAUAGAGGACAGGAGGUUAUAGAGGACAGGAGGUUUAGUAAUGGGUAGUUAUAGAGGACAGGAGGUUAUAGAGGACAGGAGGUUUAGUAAUGGGCAGUUAUAGAGGGCAGGAGGUUAUAGAGGACAGGAGGUUAUAGAGGACAGGAGGUUUAAUAAUGGGUAGUUAUAGAGGACAGGAGGUUAUAGAGGACAGGAGGUUAUAGAGGACAGGAGGUUAUAGAGGACAGGAGGUUUAAUAAUGGGUAGUUAUAGAGGACAGGAGGUUAUAGAGGACAGGAGGUUAUAGAGGACAGGAGGUUAUAGAGGACAGGAGGUUUAAUAAUGGGUAGUUAUAGAGGACAGGAGGUUAUAGAGGACAGGAGGUUUAAUAAUGGGUAGUUAUAGAGGACAGGAGGUUAUAGAGGACAGGAGGUUUAAUAAUGGGUAGUUAUAGAGGACAGGAGGUUAUAGAGGACAGGAGGUUUAAUAAUGGGUAGUUAUAGAGGACAGGAGGUUAUAGAGGACAGGAGGUUUAAUAAUGGGCAGUUAUAGAGGACAGGAGGUUUAAUAAUGGGCAGUUAUAGAGGACAGGAGGUUUAAUAAUGGGCAGUUAUAGAGGACAGGAGGUUAUAGAGGACAGGAGGUUUAGUAAUGGGCAGUUAUAGAGGACAGGAGGUUAUAGAGGACAGGAGGUUUAGUAAUGGGUAGUUAUGGAGGACAUGAGGUUUAGUAAUGGGCAGUUAUAGAGGACAGGAGGUUAUAGAGGACAGGAGGUUUAGUAAUGGGCAGUUAUAGAGGACAGGAGGUUAUAGAGGACAGGAGGUUUAGUAAUGGGCAGUUAUAGAGGACAGGAGGUUAUAGAGGACAGGAGGUUUAGUAAUGGGCAGUUAUAGAGGACAGGAGGUUAUAGAGGACAGGAGGUUAUAGAGGACAGGAGGUUUAAUAAUGGGCAGUUAUAGAGGACAGGAGGUUAUAGAGGACAGGAGGUUAUAGAGGACAGGAGGUUAUAGAGGACAGGAGGUUAUAGAGGACAGGAGGUUAUAGAGGACAGGAGGUUAUAGAGGACAGGAGGUUAUAGAGGACAGGAGGUUAUAGAGGACAGGAGGUUUAAUAAUGGGCAGUUAUAGAGGACAGGAGGUUAUAGAGGACAGGAGGUUUAGUAAUGGGUAGUUAUAGAGGACAGGAGGUUAUAGAGGACAGGAGGUUUAGUAAUGGGUAUUUAUAGAGGACAGGAGGUUUAAUAAUGGGCAGUUAUAGAGGACAGGAGGUUAUAGAGGACAGGAGGUUUAGUAAUGGGCAGUUAUAGAGGACAGGAGGUUAUAGAGGACAGGAGGUUUAGUAAUGGGUAGUUAUAGAGGACAGGAGGUUUAAUAAUGGGCAGUUAUAGAGGACAGGAGGUUAUAGAGGACAGGAGGUUUAGUAAUGGGUAGUUAUAGAGGACAGGAGGUUUAAUAAUGGGUAGUUAUAGAGGACAGGAGGUUAUAGAGGACAGGAGGUUUAGUAAUGGGCAGUUAUAGAGGACAGGAGGUUUAAUAAUGGGCAGUUAUAGAGGACAGGAGGUUAUAGAGGACAGGAGGUUUAGUAAUGGGUAGUUAUAGAGGACAGGAGGUUAUAGAGGACAGAAGGUUUAGUAAUGGGUAGUUAUAGAGGACAGGAGGUUAUAGAGGACAGGAGGUUUAGUAAUGGGUAGUUAUAGAGGACAGGAGGUUAUAGAGGACAGGAGGUUUAAUAAUGGGUAGUUAUAGAGGACAGGAGGUUAUAGAGGACAGGAGGUUUAAUAAUGGGCAGUUAUAGAGGACAGGAGGUUUAGUAAUGGGUAGUUAUGGAGGACAGGAGGUUAUAGAGGACAGGAGGUUUAAUAAUGGGCAGUUAUAGAGGACAGGAGGUUUAGUAAUGGGUAGUUAUAGAGGACAGGAGGUUUAGUAAUGGGCAGUUAUGGAGGACAGGAGGUUUCAUAAUGGGUAGUUAUAGAGGACAGGAGGUUUCAUAAUGGGUAGUUAUGGAGGACAGGAGGUUAUAGAGGACAGGAGGUUAUAGAGGACAGGAGGUUAUAGAGGACAGGAGGAUAUAGAGGACAGGAGGUUAUAGAGGACAGGAGGUUUAAUAAUGGGCAGUUAUAGAGGACAGGAGGUUAUAGAGGACAGGAGGUUUAAUAAUGGACAGUUAUGGAGGGCAGGAGGUUAUAGAGGACAGGAGGUUAUAGAGGACAGGAGGUUUAGUAAUGGGCAGUUAUAGAGGACAGGGGGUUAUAGAGGACAGGAGGUUUAGUAAUGGGCAGUUAUAGAGGACAGGAGGUUUAGUUAUAGAGGACAGGAGGUUUAGUUAUAGAGGACAGGAGGUUUAGUAAUGGACAGUUAUAGAGGACAGGAGGUUUAGUAAUGGGCAGUAGUAUAUAUAUCCUUUCUGCAUAAACGUGCUGUGUAGGAAUAGAGGACAGGAGGUUUAGUAAUGGGCAGUAGUAUAUAUAUCCUUUCUGCAUAAACGUGCUGUGUAGGAAUAGAGCAGGGCUUCGAUGUGUUCCUUCUUCUUCUUUAUUUGUUGUAUGACAGCGUUAAAUGUCUUUAAAACAACCAAUAUCUAUAUAUCAAGCUCUAGAAAUAUACAUCUGUGUCAAAUGUUAAUUUACAGUACGUCCUGUGAAACCAUGUGGUCAGUAUUGUAGAGAGAGAGAGAGAGAGAGAGAGAGAGAGAGAGAGAGAGAGAGAGAGAGAGAGAGAGAGAGCAGAUCUAUGUGUUUUAAUCGUAGACAUAGAAUCUCUAAACCGGGACCUAGAACCUCUAAUCCGUGUGACAGGUAGACUGGUAGACUCCAUGAUUUUUUACACUCCCGUAAUGACUGCCAGUACACCCCAUUAUGACAUCGUUGACUGGAAUGGGGAGGUGUGUUCUAUAGAUUCUAUGUUCUACUACGGUUGUAUUUCUAGGCUGCUGCUGAUGCUGAUCUUUGUGUCUCUCUGGACUGAUUGAAGGAGAACCUUCCUGCCUGCAUGAUCUGUUGCUAUGAUUUAAACCAACUGUAGAACAAUGAACUAUUUAUUAGCAGUUAAACAGAGAGUUGGUCCAGUGUGUGUGCUUUUGUAUAAUAUAUCUCUGGAAUAGUAUGCAAUACAACUGCUUUUCAUGUGCCACAGUAUUUUACAGAAAAAUAUAUAUAUAUUCAAUAAAA